AAGCAUAUCACUGAGCGCAGGAGAAGAAACUAACCAGGAUUUCCCUAGUAACGGCGAGCGAACCGGAAAGAGCCCAGCUUGAAAAUCGUGGCGCCCCGGCGCCUCGAAUUGUAGUCUGGAGAAGGUCCCUCUGCGGCGCGCCGGAUUCAAGUUCCCUGGAAUGGGACGUCCGAGAGGGUGAGAACCCCGUCGUAUCCGGAGUGCGUCGCUCCACGAGGACCUGUCUGCGAGUCGGGCUGUUUGGGAAUGCAGCCCUAAGCGGGUGGUAAAUUCCAUCCAAGGCUAAAUAUUGGCAAGAGACCGAUAGCGAACAAGUACCGCGAGGGAAAGAUGAAAAGGACUUUGAAAAGAGAGUUAAAAAGUGCUUGAAAUUGCUGGGAGGGAAGCGAAUGGAAGCUGCGGGUGCGCCCCGGUUGGAUGUGGAACGGCCGUCAAACGCUGGUCCGCCGCUCAACGCGGGGCGCUGGUCAGCGUGGGCCAUCGCGGCGGGACAAGAGCGGGGAUUCGCUUCCCGCCGAUGCCGCCGCGGUGGCCGAGGAACGAAGCGCGCGCCUUACGGCGUGGGACUCGUCCCAACUGCGCGCUCGAGACGCUGGCGUAUUGAGCUCUUCAUCCGACCCGUCUUGAAACACGGACCAAGGAGUCUAACAUGUAUGCGAGCCGGUGGGCGGCAAACCCAUUGAGGCGCAAGUAACCUGACAGGUGGGACCCCGACCGCAAGGGAGGGAGCACCAUCGACCGACCGUGAUCUUCUGUGAAGGGUUC
rnacentral:rRNA from 1 species